AUGAUGGCCCGGAAUUCAGACGGCGAGCUGGAGGAGCAGUCCACGGAGGGGUACCAGGAGGCGGCGUUCGAGGCCUUCAUGUGCCCGCUCACCAAGCAGGUCAUGCAGGACCCAGUCACCAUCGAGACCGGCCAGACAUUCGAGCGCGAGGCCAUCCUCAAGUGGUUCAGGGAGUGCCGCGACAACGGCCGCAGGCCCACCUGCCCGCUCACGCAGCGCGAGCUCCGCACCACCGACAUCAACCCCAGCAUCGCCCUCCGCAACGUCAUUGACGAGUGGAGGGCCAGGAACGACGAGAAGGACCUUGAGAAGGCCUGCAACGCCCUCAGGCUGCACCCCGAGGACGACGAGGACGAAAGCGUGCGCGCCAUGGCCUACAUCUCGCAGAUAUGCCAGCGGAGCGGCGCCAAGAAGAACCUCGUGCGCGCCCAGGGCAUCAUAUCCACGCUCGCCGACUUGCUCAAGAGCAGCAGCAGGAGGGUCCGCCUCAAGUCCCUGCAGGUCCUCCGCACCGUCGUCGAGGACAAUGAUCAGAACAAGGAAGAGCUGGGGAAGGGCGACACGGUGCGCACGAUCAUAAAGUUCCUGUCGAACGAGCAUAUCCAGGAGAGGGAGCUUGCGGUUUCCCUGCUGUAUGAACUCUCGGAGUAUGAGCCCGUGUGCGAAAGGAUCGGCGCGGUCUAUGGGGCCAUACUGCUGCUGGUUGGCAUGGGGAGCAGCAAGUCGGAGAACAUGAUGGCCGUGGAGAAAGCAGAGAAAACGCUCAAGAAUCUGGAGAAGUAUGACACUAACAUCAAGCAAAUGGCUGAAAAUGGCAGGCUGCAGCCUCUCCUCACCAAACUGCUUCAAGGAGGGCCUGAGGUGCAGGUUACCAUGGUUGAGUACCUCGGGGAGCUCGCGUUGGCCAACGACGUGAAGGUGGUGGUGGCGGAGCAGGUUGGAACUUUGCUGGUGAGCAUCAUCAAGACCGGCGGCCUGCCGGCGAGGGAGGCGACACUGAAGGCGAUGAGGGAGAUGUCAUCCAACGAGCUGAGCGCCAAGAUACUGCUGCAGGCUGGCAUCCUGCCGCCGCUGGUCAAGGACCUCUUCUCCGUCGGCGCCAGCAGCCACUUCCCCAUGAGGCUCAAGGAGGUCUCCGCCACCAUCCUCGCCAACCUGGUCGCCUCUGGGGCCAGCUUCCGCUCCAUCCCGCUCGACGACGCCGGCAGGCAGACGCUCCUGUCCGAGGACGUGGUGCACAGCCUGCUCCAUCUCAUCAGCAACACCGGCCCUGCCGUGGAGUGCAAGCUUCUCAACGUCCUGGUCGGCCUCACCAGCUCACCGGACACAGCCCAAGACGUGGUGUCGGCCAUCAAGAGCUCCGGCGCGACCAUCAGCCUGAUCCAGUUCCUGGAGGCAGCUCACCGGGAGAUCCGCGUCGAGUCCCUCAAGCUCCUGCGCAACGUGUCGCCGUACAUGGGCGCCGAGCUCGCAGAUGCCCUCGGCGGCCACCUGAGCAGCUUGGUCAGGGUGAUAUCCGACGCCGGUGGUGGUGGCGUGACAGAGGAGCAGGCGGCAGCCGUGGGCCUGCUGGGUGACCUCCCGGAGAGGGACUCGAAGCUGACGAGGCAGCUGUUUGAGCUGGGAGCGUUCGGUACGCUGAGCACGAAGCUGGCAGAGCUCCGGCGGGGCGCCAUCCGCGGGAACCGGUACACGACGCCGCUGACGGAGGGCAUGGUGAAGGUGAUGUACAGGCUGACGUGCAUGCUGCAGGAGGCGUCAGAGUACGUGGAGUUUGCGCGGGAGGCCGCCCUGGCGCCGUUGUUUGUGGAGCUCGUGCAGGUGAACGGGCAGGACGCGGUGCAGCUCUACUCGGCGAUGGCGCUGGAGAAGCUGUCCCUCGAGACGAGGAACCUGACGGUCAUCCCUGACCCCCCGCCGCCAGCGCCUUCCGGCGGCUUCCUGUGUGCGUGCUUCGGGGUGCCAUCGUCGACGGGUGCUGCUCCAGGUCGUCCGGUGGGGGUGUGCCGCGUGCACGGUGGGUUCUGUUCGCUGCGGGAGAGCUUCUGCCUAGCUGAAGGCGGGGCCGGAGGCAAGGCGGUGGAGCGGCUGGUGGCGUGCCUGGACCACCUGAACCCGGAGGUGGUGGAGGCGGCGCUGGCGGCACUGGCGACGCUGGUGGGGGACGGGGUGGAGGCUGCGGAGGGUGUGGGGGUUCUUGGGGAUGCCGACGGGCUGCGGCCGGUGGUGGACAUCUUGGUGGAGAACCGGACGGAGGCGCUGCGGCGGCGGGCGGUGUGGGUGGUGGAGCGCAUCCUGCGGGUGGAGGACAUCGCGCAGGAGGUGGCGGCGGACCAGACGGUGGCGUCGGCGCUGGUGGAGGCGUACCGCAACGGCGACCCGCGCACCCGGCACACCGCCGAGCGCGCCCUCCGGCACCUGGACAGGAUCCCGAACUUCUCCAGCGCGUUCCAUGCCCAGGCACGCCGGCCAUGA
rnacentral:rRNA from 1 species